GCUAAUCAGAGUUUAAAAUAUCCAGCAGCAGUGUGAUGUGGCCAUUUAAAAGCUUUAUUAGGUGUUGGAAGUUGGAACUUCAUAAGAAGAACCGAAACAUGAUUUUCAAUUAAUGAGCUCACCAUUGGGAUUGGGGACACAAGAGAAGUUGAGCGCAAGGAACUUCUAGGCAUCGAAGACCCUGAUGCUCCCACCAGGGAAGAGUUGGUUGUUGUUCUUGAAGAAAACAUGAGUUGUGAUACAUGGGACCGCUCAAGCGAGCAAUUGGUGUUUGAGUCUGAAAUUGGGUGAUAUAAGAAGAUUAUAAGCCAAAGAGCGUACCAGUUCUGCCAUGGACAUGAACCCCAAUUGACGUCAACGCCUUGGAAAAAAACCCCUCUCUAUUCUGCCUUGACCUGACCCCAGAUCUGUUUCUUUCAAGACAUGACUCCCCAGUCUAACAACACAGCCAAAUCUAAAGCAAUAACACUAAGGAUGAAGGCACUGCAAAUGAAAAGAGGCGAAAAAACACUGUCGAAACCAGCUAUUGAAGAGACUGAUGCACCACAUAAAUCUGCCUUCACCAAGCAUGAUCAAUAAUAUGAGAUAUCAAUGUUUUUUGGGUUCCAUUUGUUGAUCAUGCCAACUGCUAUAGGUUAUUGAACUGAUGUUUACUAAGUUUAGCUCUAUUAUGGAUGUAUG